AAUGGAUUAAAGUUCUAUAUACUGAUAUUAAAAGCUCAGUUAUAAACAAUGGUUGGAUUUCAAAACCUAUAAGCAUUUUUCGUGGAUUAGGCAAGGGUGCCCAUGCAGUGCGAUAAUUUUUGUAAUUGCUGUUGAAAUUUUAGCAUGUAGGAUCAGACAAGAUCAUGACCUCAAAGGCUUUGAAAUUAAACUUGAUGGCAAAACUCACACAUUAAAAAUUAGUCAACUAGCAGAUGAUACCACUCUUUUUCUUAGAACAAAACAAGACAUUUCAAAAGCACUUAAUAUGAUUGAAACAUUUGGAACAUUGUCAGGUUUGAAAUUAAACAGAGCUAAAACUGAGG
rnacentral:lncRNA from 1 species